UCCGUAGGUGAACCUGCGGAAGGAUCAUUAAUGAGUUAGGGUCUUCUAGGCUCGACCUCCCAACCCUUUGUGUACUAGACCUCUGUUGCUUCGGCAGGCCCGUCUCAAACUGACCGCUGGAGGACCGCCUGUCACGGGUGUUCUCUCUGGCCAGUGUCUGCCGAUAGCCUAAUCUCUUAACUCUGGAUCAAUCAUGAUUUACAAUGUCUAAGGUGAAUUUUAUUCAAUUAAAAGCAAAAACUUUCAACAACGGAUCUCUUGGUUCUGGCAUCGAUGAAGAACGCAGCGAAAUGCGAUAAGUAAUGCGAAUUGCAGAAUUCCAGUGAGUCAUCGAAUCUUUGAACGCACAUUGCGCCCUUUGGUAUUCCGAAGGGCAUGCCUGUUCGAGCGUCAUUAUCACCCCCUCAAGCCCCCUGUGCUUGGUGUUGGACGGUUUGGUGGAGCGAGUUCACACUUUCCACCCCUCCUAAAGACAAUGACGGCGGCCUGCGGAACCCCCGGUACACUGAGCUUCUUAACUGAGCACGUAUCGGAUGAAGGGUGCCCGGGACCCGGUCUUCUCCCUCACGGGAACACUUUUUUUCAAAGGUUGACCUCGGAUCAGGUAGGAAUACGCGCUGAACUUAAGCAUAUCAAUAAGCGGAGGA
rnacentral:sRNA from 1 species